rnacentral:rRNA from 1 species
UACGAAGGGUGCAAGCGUUACUCGGAAUCACUGGGCGUAAAGCGUGCGUAGGCGGUUCGUUAAGUCUGCUGUGAAAGCCCUGGGCUCAACCUGGGAACUGCAGUGGAUACUGGCGGACUAGAGUGUGAUAGAGGAUGGUGGAAUUCCCGGUGUAGCGGUGAAAUGCGUAGAGAUCGGAAAGAACACCAACGGCGAAAGCACUCUGCUGGGCCGACACUGACACUGAGAGACGAAAGCUAGGGGAGCGAAUGGG